rnacentral:rRNA from 1 species
GACGUAGGAUGCAAGCGUUGUCCGGAAUUAUUGGGCGUAAAGAGUUCGUAGGCGGUUACUUAAGUCUGGUGUUAAAUACUGGCGCUCAACGUCAGCAUGGCAUUGGAAACUGGGUGGCUAGAGUGUGGCAGAGGUCAAGGGAAUUCCAGGUGUAGCGGUGAAAUGCGUAGAUAUCUGGAGGAACGACCGGUGGCGAAAGCGCUUGACUGGGCCAUAACUGGACGCUGAAGGAACGAAAGCUAGGGGAGCAAAAGGGAUUAAGAUACCCU